rnacentral:tRNA from 1 species
ACUAUUUUAGUAAAAAAUAUUAUUUUAUCUUGAUAAGGUGAAGUUUCCUCGAGAGGA